AUUGAACGCUGGCGGCAGGCCUAACACAUGCAAGUCGAACGAGUGGCGGACGGGUGAGUAAUGUCUGGGAAACUGCCUGAUGGAGGGGGAUAACUACUGGAAACGGUAGCUAAUACCGCAUACCAUCGGAUGUGCCCAGAUGGGAUUAGCUAGUAGGUGGGGUAACGGCUCACCUAGACGACGAUCCCUAGCUGGUCUGACAGGAUGACCAGCCAGACUGGAACUGAGACACGGUACAAGCGCCUACGGGCGGCAGCAGUGGGGAAUAUUGCACAAUGGGCGCAAGCCUGAUGCAGCCAUGCCGCGUGUAUGAAGAAGGCCUUCGGGUUGUAAAGUACUUUCAGCGGGGAGGCGUUACCCGCAGAAGAAGCACCGGCUAACUCCGUGCCAGCAGCCGCGGUAAUAC
rnacentral:rRNA from 1 species